rnacentral:rRNA from 1 species
UACAGAGGAGCCAAGCGUUGUCCGGAUUGACUGGGCGUAAAGCGCACGCAGGCGGACGCGCGCGUGGGGUGUGAAAUCUGGCCGCUUAACGGCCAGGCGCCAUCCCAUACGGCGGGUCUGGAGUGAUGCAGAGGGCGGUGGAAUUGCCGGUGUAGUGGUGAAAUGCGUAGAGAUCGGCAGGAACACCCAGGGGGAAACCAGCCGCCUGGGCAUCGACUGACGCUGAGGAGCGAAAGCGUGGGGAGCGAACAGG